CCUACGGGCGGCAGCAGUGGGGAAUAUUGCGCAAUGGGCGAAAGCCUGACGCAGCGACGCCGCGUGAGGGAUGAAGAUCUUCGGAUCGUAAACCUCUGUCAGCAGGGAAGAACGGUCACUGUGCUAAUCAGCAGUGAAUUGACGGUACCUGCAAAGGAAGCACCGGCGAACUCCGUGCAAGCAGCCGCGGUAAUAAGGAGGGUGCGAGCGUUAAUCGGAAUUACUGGGCGUAAAGCGCUCGUAGGCGGUGUGGCAAGUCAAGGGUGAAAUCCCAGCGCGUAACGUGGGAAUUGCCUUUGAAACUGGCAAACUGGAGUGUGUGAGAGGAUAGUGGAAUUCCAGGUGUAGGAGUGAACUCCGUAGAUAUCUGGAGGAACAUCAGUGGCGAAGGCGACUAUCUGGCACAUAACUGACGCUGAGGAGCGAAAGCGUGGGUAGCAAACAGGAUUAGAUACCCUUGUAGUC
rnacentral:rRNA from 1 species